rnacentral:rRNA from 1 species
CGGCAACAGCUCAAAUUUGAAAUCUGGCGCAAGCCCGAGUUGUAAUUUGAAGAAGGUAACUUUGGAGUUGGCUCUUGUCUAUGUUCCUUGGAACAGGACGUCACAGAGGGUGAGAAUCCCGUGCGAUGAGAUGCCCAAUUCUAUGUAAAGUGCUUUCGAA